rnacentral:lncRNA from 1 species
AAGAACUAUUUAAAAUGUUACAAUUUAGUCUGAAUAUGUUGUGUUUAAGAUAUUGGAGGCAAUUACAAUGUUGGUUUUGAUUAUGGUUAUCUUUUGAGGCUUCUGUAUUCUGACACAUUUAGUACCGUUUUUGGUAACCAGUGCUGCAAUUGGACUCUCAUGAUGGCUUAGCAUCACUAUUCAAACGACAAGAAUUAUUUUAUUUUAUAUACGUUUUUUUUUUUUUUGAGUUUUGGGGCAGAACUAUUGAAACUAUUUUUAUUUUGGAGUCACAUUGCUUAUUGUUACACCUUGAAAUGGGCCGGUAGGUAGGAGUUGCAUAACUCGCCUAAAUACUUUUAUAAACUUGUUAAAAAGAAAAAUAGGUCCAAUCAAUAAUUAAUUAUUGUUACAGUCAUAUUUAAAAUAAAAAUGUGAUUGUGUAAAUCUUAGUGUAUCUAGUGAUCUCUUAAUAUUCCUUUUAGUAGUUAAUAUCAUAUUAGAGUUGUAAUCCUAUAAGGGUAAGAAUUGGUUCAUACUACUAUAAAUAAAAGCACAAUGGGGUGAUACAACACACACCUCACAAUUUAAUCUCUUUCUUCUCUUUCUCUUGCUGCCGGCCUCUCUCCCUCUGUAGUCCUAAAUACAGUUCAAUCAAAUAGGCCUACAACACGUUCUUGCCAAAAGCU